ensembl:lncRNA
AUUCUGUUACAACCUUGACAGUGAUAGCAACUGUCAUCACGCUCUUUAUCGUUGUGGCUUUGAGUUUGGCUGUAAAACAGUUUUGUGAAAAAACAAGACCAACAACUGUUGAUGAGGGUCAGUUAGCCAGCCAUUUAGUGUUUCAGUCAGCAUUAGUCGAUCUGUUAAAUUCUGGUCACCCUGCGUUCCUAAUAAACGCUGUCCACGUCCUUCACCAGCCUGUGAGUCCUGCAUUUGGGUCCUGUCUUCCUCUUCUCCACAUUCACACAGUGAUCGCCUGGGACACUUUCCAUAAAUGAAGGAUGAAUGGUUUAAUAUUAAUAAUCUUUCAUAUUCUGUGGAGCAUACUACUAAAUAAUUUAAAUAGUAAACACCUUGCUAUUUC